rnacentral:rRNA from 1 species
CAGCAUAGUAAACAAUUAAAGGAACUUGUUCCUUAAUUCGACAACACCCGCUACUCGCUUUAGAUCAAAGCCUAUAUACCUUCGUUUCAUUAUCUUCACUAGACGAAUAAUAAAACAAUUUUCUUAAAACGUCAGAUCAAGGUGUAGCCCAUUCCAAAGAGACAAUGAGUUACAUUAAAUAUAAUUUAAGGAUUUGAAUUUAACAAACCAAUCAAAUAGGAUUUAACAGUAUUAAUAAAUCAUGAUUUUAUUAAGAACAACAAUAUAUAAUGUGC